CUAAAGAGCCGAGGACAACAGACACUCAAGACUGCAUCUCAAUAGAGCGCUAGCGGGACAGAAAGCAGCCGGGACAGAGAGCAGCCGGGACAGAGAGCAGCCGGGACAGAAAGCAGCCGGGACAGAAAGCAGCCCGGACAGAAAGCAGCCCGGACAGAAAGCAGCCCGGACAGAGAGCAGCCGGGACAAAGAGCAGCCGGGACAGAGAGCAGCCGGGACAGAGAGCAGCCGGGAUAGAGAGCAGCCGGGACAGAGAGCAGCCGGGACAGAGAGCAGCCGGGACAGAGAGCAGCCGGGACAGAGAGCAGCCGGGAUAGAGAGCGAGAGAGGAGAAGGAAAUCAAGGAAAACAGACAGAAAAUGACAGAGAGGGAAAGGAGGGACAGAUGAAGAAUUGAUGAACGAGCGCUUCAGCUAACCAACCCUCAACUGAGAACAGCACAACGACAUUACCGCCUCCGUUCCCUGACCUACGCUGUCCAAGUAAUUUGUUCAGCCUUCGAGGACCUUCACCAGGUGUUCAUAAACAGAUAAUGGCGAAUCCAUCCCAGUGGAGGGGUGUGUGUGCAUGUAUUCGCCUGUGUGUGUGAGAUGAGGGUAGCACCUGUGGCCUCUUUCCAUGAUACCACGACCCCACCAGUCAGUUGACACAGAGCACCGGUGUCACGUCAUUCCCCCCCCCCCCGUUUGUUCCUGCCACCAUGCAAGCUUCCACAUGCAUCCUUCAGUGUUAGGGUCUAGCCGUAACAACGACAAAUGUAAUAACUCUGGCAAGAGUAAUAACUUCUAGAUGUGUUAUGUAAUAAACCCAGUAAAUGUAAUAACACUGGCAAGAGUAAUAACUUCUAGAUUUGUUAUGUAAUAAACCCAGUAAAUGUAAUAACACUGGCAAGAGUAAUAACUUCUAGAUUUGUUAUGUAAUAAACCCAGUAAAUGUAAUAACUUGACGGUAAAGGUAAUAUCCUUUCUCUGCUAAAUGUAACAAGUUGAUACAUUUAGCAGUGGUUAUUACAUUAACAGGUGAGUAACAACUUUUUUCAUGAAUAAUGUAAUAAACGGCAACAAAUCAUGCAAUACAUUUCUUUCUUUUUUUAAAUGUUAUGUAUUACUUUGCUCUAUUUGAUGAACAUACAUCCCCCCCAAUCGUACAUAAUCUAGACAGUCACAAGCACACAUUGAUAUGCAGUCACACACAGGCACACACAAAAGAAAGACCUGAACAAUCCCCGGGGAGUGUGCACAUUUCAAUGUGUGCUUGUGAGUGCCUAAAUGAGUAUUUCUGUAUGAUGUGCAUGUGUU